GAUACACACACCAACACACAGACAGACUGCUAAAUGCACACACAGUCCGCUAAAUACACACACACAAACACGCACACUGCUGAAUACACACACUGCUGAGUACACAGUCUGCUGAAUACACACACGCAGUCUGCUAAGUACGCAGUCUGCUGAAUACACACGCAGUCAGCUUACACACACUGCUUAAUACAUAAAGACUGCUGAACACACACACAUAAACUGCAUUGAGGGGUGCAGUGUAUGUGUUUGUGUGUAGUGCUG